rnacentral:rRNA from 1 species
UCGAUUUGGAGUUUGUUGCCCUGAGUGAUGGGCUCCGAAGCUAACGCGAUAAAUCGACCGCCUGGGGAGUACGGCCGCAAGGUUAAAACUCAAAUGAAUUGACGGGGGCCCGCACAAGCGGUGGAGCAUGUGGUUUAAUUCGAUGCAACGCGAAGAACCUUACCUGGUCUUGACAUCCACAGAAUCUUGCAGAGAUGCGAGAGUGCCUUCGGGAACUGUGAGACAGGUGCUGCAUGGCUGUCGUCAGCUCGUGUUGUGAAAUGUUGGGUUAAGUCCCGCAACGAGCGCAACCCUUAUCCUUUGUUGCCAUCGGUUUGGCCGGGAACUCAAAGGAGACUGCCGUUGAUAAAGCGGAGGAAGGUGGGGACGACGUCAAGUCAUCAUGGCCCUUACGACCAGGGCUACACACGUGCUACAAUGGCGUAUACAAAGGGAGGCGACCUCGCGAGAGCAAGCGGACCUCAUAAAGUACGUCUAAGUCCGGAUUGGAGUCUGCAACUCGACUCCAUGAAGUCGGAAUCGCUAGUAAUCGUGAAUCAGAAUGUCACGGUGAAAUACGUUCCCGGGCCU